UCAGGGGAAAAUAUUUAUGAUAGAUUCCUGGUGCAUAAUGUUAAUAAAUGUCAGUUCCAAAUAAAUUUUGGUCUUCCCUGUGCUUGCUCAUGAGAAUUCAUUUUAAUAGAGCCAUGCUUUAGGAGGAAAGUAGUGACUUCAAUUAUAUAUUGUCAGGACUUGAAUGCCCAAGUCUAAUGAGUUGAAUUGAUUUACAGGACUGUCCCCUGACCUGCACUGAAAUCUGGACAUAGGAAACAUUUGGUACCAAGUAUCCAGUCUGGCUUGAAUCUGAGGUUUAUUCGAUGAGAAGAGAUCACUGUCCGUGAUUGACAUGCUGCCAAUUAAAGUAACCCAGAGACCCCCAUGUUUAAUGCCUGGCCUGAUUAAACUUGGCUUUGACAUCCAACCAGGAAGACGACCCUGGGCAGAGCUCUUCUCCAUCUGCCCACUGAAGAGUAGAGAGGAAUGUGGACAUCCCAGGUCCCUGCAGGUCCUACAGCUAAGAAAGGGGUGUGCUUGAACCUCAGCCUGCCCAGAGGCCCAUUGCCUUGGGCUCAGAUGUGAUAAAAGCCUCUGGUCUAUAGGUACUUGUCCCUGUUCAUUAUGACAAAAUGAUGCUCUCUGUUGCCAUGACAGGACUGCUACUAAGGGAUGAGAGGGCCAUUCGCAGGAGAGGGCUGCUGCUGGCCUGCAGAGGGCUCCUAACAAGAGCACAUGACCAGGUAGGAAAUUUUUUCCACUCCAGGCAGCAUGUGCCUGGGGAUCCCCAGGCUGCCUGCUUUUGUCAUCAUAGCAGCCUGCAGAGAGAUGAAGACCUUGAACUCCGAGUGACCCUGGGACCAGAACUCUGGAUUCACUAAACCCCAGCAUCUCUAAGCCAGCAUCCUACCCAGAGAGCUCAUUCUCCAGACCUGACCAGCCAGUCUUCAGCCCCAGUUCCAGCACCAAAAGCACCCCGAUUUUACCCGGCCUGCUGCAUACUUCUAUAGCCUGGCUUUGCUUUUUUUUUUCCUCCCAACAUUAAUGUCCUUGUUUUAUCCUUUGGGUGACCUUCAAAGUCCUGGUGCCCACAGUGAGAUUCUACAUACCAGAAGAUACUAGUUGAGGACAUCAACUUACGUUUGGCUCCAAGGAGGGCAGGGGGUCUCAGAUGGGGAGGCUGACUUCUCUUACCUGAGAUGCUGCCAGCCAGGCCACUCUCCAUCCCUGCAGGCCUCCUACUGCAUCAGUGCUGGUAAAAAUGUGCAGAUGGGAAGGUUACGUGGGCAUAAUUCUCAUGUGCAAAGAGAAACCGGGCCCAAGAGAAGCCUUGGUGUGCUCAGACAUAAAGAUAGCUAAACAGCUGAACUGGAUAAACAUCAAAGUCUCCUAAUCCCCACACUAGAGUUUCAAGGCUGACACCCUCAGCGUGGGUAGAGAGUGUGUGAGGAGCAAGCCACACAGGAACUGGGUACAUCAGGGGUCUGGAAGCCAUCCACUGGAGACAUGAACAGGAAGGAAGCCCACAGCUCCAUCUUCCAGGGAAGGUGGAUACCUCCCUCUGGCAGGCUGGCUGGAAUAGAAACUUUUCUGUUAUAAAAAUAAGAUGUGGGGCUGGAGAGAUAGCUCAGCGAUUAAGAGCACUGACUGCUCUUCCAAAGGUCCUGAGUUCAAAUCCCAGCAACCACAUGGUGGCUUACAACCAUCUGUAAUGAGAUCUGAUUCCCUCUUCUGGAGUGUCAGAAGACAGCUACAGUGUACUUACAUAGAAUAAAUAAAUCUAAAAAAAAUAUGUUUAUUCUUAAUUUGGAUAAGGGCAAUUAUCUAACAGAUGGCACCCCAAUGGCCAGGUGAUUCAUAAUGAGCUGCAUGUGCCAUCCUCCUGCCUGGGGACCAGCCAUGAUUUGUUGUGAGAGCACGUGUGUGCAGUGGGUCACAUUUGUAUGGGCUGUAUCCGGGGCUGGAGUUCCACUGUCUGGCAACGUUACCAUUCUUACUAAUAUUUAUUCAAUGAACAAAACAAACCUCUGCCUUUUACCCCUGUGGAGAUCUCUUCUGUGGAGGCUGCAGAUUUGGCUGCAGCUCUGUUUCCCCCAUGAGGAUCUGGGAAGAACUGCCACUGUGCAUCCUCCUAGACACUGAAACCCACUGGUGGGCAGAGACAGGGGAGUAACAGGAAGUAAAGGCAAUCUCUACCUGGAGAUGCAUCUGGGGACUGGAGCUCUCUCUUGCCUCCACCCACUGUCUCCAGCUCCCUCUUUGUGUGUUUCUGUACCCCACACCUUGGGCCUUGAGAACUGCAAACAGAGAGGUCACCUAGCCAUAGGGAGUCUCAGAGUGAGUGUGGGUCAGAAAUACAGGACAAGGUUAGAGGGUCAGGUCUCACCUACGCCACACAGGCCAGGCCCUAAACCACCCAGAGUCCCACCUACUCUGGCUUCUCAGAACUGAUUCAAAAAUGGCACCAGAAGGGCUUUGGUUCCUGGUGACCCAGCCUGCGCACCACCUUAAUAUGCCUGUUCAGGCCACACCAGGCAGGAGAAAAGCAACUCUUCUGGGAUCUCAGCAGUGACAAAUGUGGGAACAGAAGGAAGGAGACCCACACAUGCUCAAAGGAGAAAAAUAAGGGGGGAGGGAGAUACAAAAAAGACAGAGAUGGAGGAAAGAGGCCAUGGUUUUUGAGACCUACUUCCUGUAUGCUCUGAUGUUACAUGUCUGCAGAACAGCCUAGGAAAACCAAGUCCAAGGCAGGCCUUGCCCCAUUGACACUCCUCUCAGGUCCACCGUGCCACCACAGACCCUUCCCUUACCAAGUGUGUCUCUCAUUCCAUCUAUUAUCCUACCAAGCCACUUACCUUUCUCAUAACCCACCUGAGAAGAGUGAAUAGGUGAGCCGACUGUCCACCUAGCAGGACACAAAAGCUACGGGACAGGUAUACACACACACACACACACACACACACACACACACACACACGAGACAGGGAAACAGCACAGGUUGGUCUAUCACAUGGAGCCUGACCCUAGUCUUGGUGCUCUAUUCCUAUUCCUUCCACCCCACUCACGAGUACCGUAAGGACAGAACACACACACACACACACACACACACACACACACACACACACACACACACGAUAAAGCCCCAGUCACCUCCACCCUCCUGUGGCCUGC